rnacentral:rRNA from 1 species
AUUGAACGCUGGCGGCAGGCCUAACACAUGCAAGUCGAGCGGAUGAAGGGAGCUUGCUCCUGGAUUCAGCGGCGGACGGGUGAGUAAUGCCUAGGAAUCUGCCUGGUAGUGGGGGAUAACGUCCGGAAACGGGCGCUAAUACCGCAUACGUCCUGAGGGAGAAAGUGGGGGAUCUUUGGACCUCACGCUAUCAGAUGAGCCUAGGUCGGAUUAGCUAGUUGGUGGGGUAAAGGCCUACCAAGGCGACGAUCCGUAACUGGUCUGAGAGGAUGAUCAGUCACACUGGAACUGAGACACGGUCCAGACUCCUACGGGAGACAGCAGUGGGGAAUAUGGGACAAUGGGCGAAAGCCUGAUCCAGCCAUGCCGCGUGUGUGAAGAAGGUCUUCGGAUUGUAAAGCACUUUAAGUUGGGAGGAAGGGCAGUAAGUUAAUACCUGGCUGUUUUGACGUGACCAACAGAAUAAGCACCGGCUAACUUCGU